CAAUUUGGUAGUCUAAUUUGGCAGAUCAGAAAGGACGAGCAGGAGGUCUUCCUUUGGGCACCGGGCACUGGGCACUGGGAUCGAAUCUCUAGAUAAAGGUGGGUCAGGGCUGCAUUCUGUAGGACGUGAUAGCUGUUGGCAAUUCUCUCUCUCCUUUCUUUCUUUCAGUUUCUUCUUUUCCCCCUCCCCUCCCCUCCCCUCUUCUCCUUCCAGGGUCUCCCUGUGCGGCCCAGGCUGACCUCAAACUCCUAGAAAUCCUCCCACUUCUCAAAGACUAAGAUAGUCGGGCCUUGGUGUCUGCCCAGGCAGCUGCCGCAGCCCCUGCCCAUGCUCGCGCGUCUGACAGCGAUGACCCGGACGAGACAGUAGCUUUAUUUCCUGCUCACACUGCAGAGGUCAAAGGGAAGAGCGCAGCAAACGCCGAUCUCUCGGGGUUCCCGCCCUGCAGCGCACCUGCCGCUCAUUACCCCGCUGGCGACUACCGCCCGCCUCCGGGCACAGGGAUUGUUUCUUUGCUUGGCACCAUGGCACCCAUGGGCGGGGGCUGCUCCUUAGACGUUUUGGAAGAAGGGGACUGCGCUCUGUAGUCGUUCUGGGGACAGUGCUGACAAGUAAGGCGAAAGAACAAACGGAGCUGUCGACCCUCACUGGCUUUUUGCUCAGCCCCGGGACUGACGCCGUUCCCCGCUGCUCAGACGUGUGCCUUCCUUUCCAACAGCGAGCUGCUUUCCCUGGACCACGGCCACAACGGCUUUUCUUCUUGCUCAAUCCUGGACUGCCGCAGCCAGGCCACGGCAAAGAACAGCCCUCCCAGCGAUAAUUAGAUGCUCUUUUUCCUUUAGUCUGAGGACAUAAGGUCAAAAUAUGGUGUUCAAAAGUUACUUGAGGGCUGGGGAUUUAUUUAGUUCAGUGGUUCCACCACUUGUCGUGCAAGCACAAGGCCCCGCGUUCAAUCCCUGGUUAAAAAAUUAAAAAGUUACUUGAGUUCGAUCUGCCCUGCUCUUCAACUAUUAUUCUUUUGAAAUGCAUUUAGGUUUGCGUCUGUUUUAUUUUACAGUCCCCUGUGUUUUUCUGAUUUUUAGCAUUGUCCUUUUUUGUUUUGUUUUGUUUCUUGUUUGUUUCAUUUUUUGAGACAAGGUCUCUCUGUGUAGUCUACGAUGGCCUUAAACUUACUAUGUAGCCCGAGCUGUCCUGGAAGUGGCAGCGACCCUCCUGCCUCAGCCUCCUGAGUGCUGAGGUUCUGGGCUCAUCAUUCCUUUUCUAUGUGCAAUCUUAAAGUCUAUUCUAAAGGAAAAGUUGUCCCAGGCAGAGUUGGGCCCCUGGUGCUGCUUGGCAGGCCAGUAACCCCACCCAGUACCCAGGAGCGUGGGCUUCUGGGGUUUCCCUCUCGUGUUUCUUUUUGAGAACCAAAAAGCAGAAAUAUGCAUUUUUUUAUACAGCACCGAGAGAUCAGUAACUCUAAUGCCUCUUCCCACGAAGUCAGGGAAAAUCUGAAUAAUUGGCGGUGUCGCUGAGUUAGAAUUUGAAACGAG
rnacentral:lncRNA from 1 species